GACGAACGCUGGCGGCGUGCCUAAUACAUGCAAGUCGAACGGUCUUUUCUAUGGAAGCUUGCUUCUACUGAGAAGAUAGUGGCGAACGGGUGAGUAACACGUGGGUAACCUGCCCAUAAGAGGGGGAUAACAUCCGGAAACGGGUGCUAAUACCGCAUAGUUUUCUUGAUCGCAUGAUCGAGAAAGGAAAGACGGCCUUUGUGCUGUCGCUUAUGGAUGGACCCGCGGCGUAUUAGUUAGUUGGUGAGGUAACGGCUCACCAAGACGAUGAUACGUAGCCGACCUGAGAGGGUGAUCGGCCACAUUGGGACUGAGACACGGCCCAAACUCCUACGGGAGGCAGCAGUAGGGAAUCUUCCGCAAUGGACGAAAGUCUGACGGAGCAACGCCGCGUGAGUGAAGAAGGUUUUCGGAUCGUAAAACUCUGUUGUCAGAGAAGAACAAGUCGGAGAGUAACUGCUCCGGCCUUGACGGUAUCUGACCAGAAAGCCACGGCUAACUACGUGCCAGCCGCCGCGGUAACAC
rnacentral:rRNA from 1 species